AAUAGAUACCCCGGUAGUCCACGCCGUAAACGAUGAGUGCUAAGUGUUAGGGGGUUUCCGCCCCUUAGUGCUGCAGCUAACGCAUUAAGCACUCCGCCUGGGGAGUACGGUCGCAAGACUGAAACUCAAAGGAAUUGACGGGGGCCCGCACAAGCGGUGGAGCAUGUGGUUUAAUUCGAAGCAACGCGAAGAACCUUACCAGGUCUUGACAUCCCGCUGACCGCUAUGGAGACAUAGCUUUCCCUUCGGGGACAGCGGUGACAGGUGGUGCAUGGUUGUCGUCAGCUCGUGUCGUGAGAUGUUGGGUUAAGUCCCGCAACGAGCGCAACCCUUGUCCUUAGUUGCCAUCAUUCAGUUGGGGCACUCUAAGGAGACUGCCGGCUAAAAGUCGGAGGAAGAUGGGGAUGACGUCAAAUCAUCAUGCCCCUUAUGACCUGGGCUACACACGUGCUACAAUGGACGGUACAAACGGUUGCGAAGUCGCGAGAUGGAGCUAAUCCGAGAAAACCGUUCUCAGUUCGGAUUGCAGG
rnacentral:rRNA from 1 species